CUAAAACUAGACAAGGGUGAUGUUUUCGCAUCUGCACUGUAAGGAAAUACUUGUGGCUGUAACAUGAUGAUAAAUCUCCAUACCGCCAUAUGGACCCUGACGUCCUUGAUUCUGUCGGGCACUCUUGCUGCUGACUGGACAGUGCGUGUUCCUAUGGAUCCAGUCUAUGCUCCUUCUGGUUCUUCUGUAGUUUUAGAGUGCACCUAUGACUACCCUGAAGAGUCUGACCAGGGAAAACUGCACAAAGUACUGACAGAGAUGUGGUGUCUGAACGAAAGACGCUGCAUUACUCCCAGAUACGUGUACCACAGUGCAGGGAUAUUCCCUGAGCCCUCAUACCAGGGCCGAGUCAAGUACUUUGGGCAGACAGGGAGCAAAAACUGCUCUCUGAUGAUAUCUGAUCUGAGGUCAGAAGACAGCGGCGUGUACGUGUUCCGGUUCAUCACCGACCAUCUGAAGGCCAAGCUACCAGGACAGAGAGGAAUGAAUCUACAGGUCACACAUCAGAUAGAAAUCCACAGCAAAUGUCAGCUCUUCACAAAAAGACGUAUCCACAAAGUUGAGGCACUUCCUCAGAGAAACCUAGCUUUCAUGACUUUGACUGUGGGAGAUUCAUUUCGAAACCUGUGACCAGUUUACGUGACAUUAUUUAGCACUGAUAAACAAAUUUGUCAGCCACAUUACUGACACUUUAAAAUGUGUGAAUACUGUGGUAUAGUCAUGUGAUUGUAAGCUGUUUAUUGAAAUUGUCUCAAAUUCUUCACAGCAAGAAGUGCAUCUUCAUCCACUACUGGCAUUGUGCUUGGAGUAAUUAUCAUGGUUAUCAUAAUAGCAGUCAUUGUAGUACUCAUCAGACGCAAGUCACGGGGAUAGAGUUCAACAUAACACAGAGGAUGAAAAAGAGAAAACUUUUGACUGUAAACAAAACAGAGAUGUUAACAAAUAGUUCUGUUUUUUUUUUUUUUACAUUCAUUUUAUGCAUUUUUGCAUCCAUUACAGUCUGUAUUAUUUAUUCAUUCAUAUUAUUUCCUGCACAUCAAACGGUAUGUUUUAUUCUCAUAUUUCACUUUUUGCAGUCAUAUUUCACUUUUUGUAGUCUAUUGCAUGUCAUAUUGUAUCUUACUUUUUGCAUGUCACUGCCGCUGUGUUGCAUGUCAGGGUGACCACACUGCUUUCAGCCCAUGAACUGGUAACUGAACAACACAUUUUCUUGACAGAGUCUGUAAAAAGAGAAAAUUAUGGUUUUGUAUAAAUAGUAAGAAACUUAUUAAGCCAGCAGAAAAAAGAAAACAGGAAAGAAAACCUUGUUCUACGAUCUCGUUCUCCCCUCUUCUGCACAUCAAAAAAGCAUGGUUUAGUUUACAACACCUCACUUCCUAAAAAUGAAGCAAUUGGAGGAAUAUUUCACCAUAAAAAAUGACUAUCUAUUGCUAUUUACUCACCCUUGAAUCUAUGAAGAACCUUCAUACAGUUCCAGGU